CGUUCAAGCUGAACCAGGAAAAACAGCUUCUCUAAACUGAAAAGACUUCAUUGGCUCCUUCACCAGCUUGAUGUAGAAAGCAGAUGGCAGAAUGAAGAUCAGCAUAGCAGCAGCAGAAGCACCUUGAAAAUAGGGACAAAGAUGACAAGCACGUUAACACUGAUCAAAAGGAUCACUGUGAUGCCGAUAUGCCGAAACCAGCUGAACCCUUUGGACGCACACAACAGUUGGUUUACUGAGGGAAGAGGACAACCGGUACAGUGAAGGUGACGGCGGUCAGAACAGCCAGACGUACGAUCAGCAGCACCACAUCAAAAUCGUAGACUUUUGAAUAAAGAGCUCAACUGACUUACUCUUUAAGCUCCUCGUACAUAGGCAGAAUUGCUGGGUGGCACACAAAGGCGAAGGCAAAUUGUUAAAGUAACUCAUCUUGGGGAGAAAGCUGCUCUCGUCGUUGUGUGAAAUGUUAAACCGGCUCUCGGCUCCUUCAGGAUUUUUGUUCAUUCUGCUGAAUCAAAAAAAAGGAUUCAAAUGAGCAGGCGAUCGUGCUUUGCGUUUCAUAUUGCCUACAAGGGUUUUGUCACCGACACGCAGAACGGUGAGCGGUGCUUCAAAGCUUUAACCACGUGACCCAGCCUGGAUGGAGGAGGGUGCGGUGGGAAGCAGCUGACUCACUGAACAGGAGCAGUGGAAAAUUCCAACCGGCAUCACUUACGCACCAGGAUGAUCUGAACAUCGCCAUGCUACCACAAUGCCAACAUGAACCAACAGUUAUGUAGAUCAGUGGGAAAAGAAUCUGUAUGUAAACAUGGCUGAUAAAGGAUCGUUUUUAAAUUUUAUAACAUUUUCUUGUACAAUGAGUAAACACAUU